UACGGAGGGGGCUAGCGUUGUUCGGAAUUACUGGGCGUAAAGCGCACGUAGGCGGACUGUUAAGUCGGGGGUGAAAUCCUGGGGCUCAACCUCAGAAUUGCCUCCGAUACUGGCAGUCUCGAGUGCGGGAGAGGUGAGUGGAAUUCCCAGUGUAGAGGUGAAAUUCGUAGAUAUUGGGAAGAACACCAGUGGCGAAGGCGGCUCACUGGCCCGUAACUGACGCUGAGGUGCGAAAGGCGUGGGGAGCAAACAGG
rnacentral:rRNA from 1 species